rnacentral:lncRNA from 1 species
CGAUUCUUUAUCACAAACCAUUUCCUCUGAGUGAGUCGUCCUGCUGGCAUUCUGUGGGAAUUAACCUUUGUUGCUGCUUGUUACCUGAUGCGGUGCAUGAACAAAGGCUAUGCAUGACGGAGUUUCACGUAGUCACUCAGCCCAAAGGAAACGUGAGCAUACACUACCCUCUGAUUCAGCCAAGAGAGGCGCUGGGUCACCCGUCUACCACAGAGGGACGCACUAGCUGAUUCAGAAAACCCGUGCUCAACACAGGAAAAAGCAGCAAGUCAGCACCACGUAAGCAAGGCUUCCCCUAAACUAAUCAUUCACGCUUUGCAUUUAAAUUUAGGCAUAUUUGAGUCAUAACUCUAUGGUAAUAAUAUGAGUUUAAAGCCUUUAAGAUCUUUAGAAGAAAGAUAUAUUAUAAAUAUAAAUGUUAAUAAAGCAAAGCAUGGGAAGAUUAGCGCUGUUGAAAGAACCUCUGGUUUCACAAGUUGUUCCUUUCCAUAUGAUCAGGUCAACCUCUGCAACCUGAGCAAUAUUCUCUCUUCUUGUUCCUCUAGUCUUUUGUGGAGUGGUUAAAGGCAAAGACAAAGAUGAAGAAGAAAAAGAAAAAGAAGAAGAGGACUUGGAAGAGGAAGGAGGAAGAGAAGAACGAGGACAAGAAGGAGAAAUUAAACGUAACUACCACUUUGCUUUCAGGGACAACAUGCCAUUUGCUGGCUGAUAAAACAAAGACGCUCAGACAUUGGCAGCUAGGGCCAACUAACUCCUUCUGGACCCAGGAGGGACUGCUGCCUUGCCAAGCCUGGUGCACCAGCAUGUCUAUCUGUGGCUCAUGCCAUGAACUAAGAGAAGCACAAGGUUUCCAGGUCCCCAAAUAACAGUCUGGAAGUCUUCAAUCAAAGCACUCAGUAUGGGAAGCAACAAAAAAACCUUCAAAUCUUAAGGCUUUUCACAAAUUAAAAUGAUUGGAAAUAAAGCUUAUAAAUAUGAAGACA